rnacentral:snoRNA from 24 species
CACUCCUAUUUCUGCCCCAUAUUCCCCUUUCUUCUAUGGAUUAAUGGGUCUAACGAUGGAGAAGAAAAAGCCAAUGAAUGGUUCAAUUACAACUUUUGAUACAUCCGUAAUUGAACUUCAUUUGUUGGAUCGUGUAGUUGAGUUGUACAAUUUCUUAAUUCCAAUAUGUUAAUUAAGGAAACGCAAUUCUCUUCUAUAUUC